rnacentral:rRNA from 1 species
GGGAUUAGGGUUCGAUUCCGGAGAGGGAGCCUGACAAACGGCUACCACAUCUAAGGAAGGCAGCAGGCGCGCAAAUUACCCAAUUCUAACAGCAUAAGAGAGGUAGUGACAAGAAAUAACAGUACAAGGCAGUUAAAAUGCUUUGUAAUUGGAAUGAUAGAAAUUUAAAUACUUUUUAAAGUAUCAAUUGGAGGGAAAGUCUGGUGCCAGCAGCCGCGGUAAUUCCAGCUCCAAUAGCGUAUAUUAAAAUUGUUGCAGUUAAAAAGCUCGUAGUUGAAUUUUUGCUAAAAAUAACCGGUGUGCUUUUAUUAAUAAAAGUGGUAUCUUGGUGUGUUUUUAGCAAUAAUGUCCUUUGAAAUGUUUUUUACUUUAUUGUAAAAAACAAAUUUCAGGAUUUUUACUUUGAGAAAAUUAGAGUGUUUCAAGCAAGCUAACGUUUUGAAUACUGCAGCAUGGAAUAAUAAAAUAGGAUUUUAGUUCUACGUUAUUGGUUUUAAGAACUAAAUUAAUGAUUGAUAGGGACAGUUGGGGGCAUUUGUAUUUAACUGUCAGAGGUGAAAUUCUUAGAUU